CACAGAUUUAAUCCAGCUCAGCCAGGACAGGCAACCCACCCUAGGGACUGGCCCUACCCAACAGCAAGCCCUUGGUCAACUUGUGGGCCUGCACAGGAGAGGUGUGUGGAAACCUCUGCCUCGGUGUGAGUGAGUCUGCCUCUGCAGCAAAGGUGUGUAAGCACAAAACAAGAUGGUGUCCACCUACAAGCCAAGAGAAGAGUCCUCAGAAUGAAAGCUACCCUACCUGCACAUUUGUCUUGGACUUCCCGACCUCCAGAAUGGAUAACGUGGAAUGGGGAAUCUGGUGGAGAAUAAACUGAAGUUGGGCAAGGUAGAAGCAGGGAGACCAGUCAGAAGGCUGUGACAAUAACCCAGAUAAGAAAACUGACAUAUAGAAGAGUGAAAUGAGACAAAGAUUCCCAACAAAACUGGAAUAAAAAGAAAAUUGAAAAUAGAUACAAACCACUAUUGCUAAGGUAUGCCAAGAUCAUCUUAUCCUUUAACAAAACAGAAAAUUUUCAAGAAGGGGGCAAUCAUCAAGACUGUCAAGUAUUUCUAGACACUAAACCAAGAUAAGAACUAAGAAGUGCUCAUUUGAUUUAGUGAUACAGAAAUUGCAGAUUUCCUUGGCAACAACAAUUUCAAUGGAAUUGUUAGCAGGAAGAAGCCAGACUGCAAUGGAUUGAGAGAUGUAUCCUUUUAUAAUCACUGCAAAAGAAAGAGAAGAGAAGGAUUAAAGAGAAUACAUGCACGGCACAAGGAAACUUCGUUAGCAGAUCUGAAACUAGGCUGUGCUCACUAUGUGCCACACAGCACCUAUGACGUGAAAGAGCAGUAGAUCAACACAACGUCCUGGUGGAAGUGGGAGUUUGAAGGCCAAUUAGACAGAACGAUUUUUUUUCUAAUGUGUCAAAAUAAUGCAAGUGGCUGUGCUAAAUAAAUUCAUGC